CGUUAGCAAGAGUUGACAUCUCAGACACUGCUAUGCACUGCAACGAUGUUCACAAGUUAUUUUUUAUUCGUUUAUAUUUCCAGCUGCUAUGGUGUUGUGAUAAGUUCUGGUAAAACUCUUUGAAAUAAUCCUUCAUAAAUCUGGGAGGUUUCUGGAAACUGUGCUCCUUGUGAAGAUAAUUACAGAAGCCAAUUUUCCCUUUCAAACCAUUUUAAGCCACAAGCUAUUCAUGCUUUAUUUGCCUGAAGUGGCUCAAAUGUAACUCAGAGCUGGACCUGAGGAUCCUAAGUCAUGUUUUUGUUGUUGUUUUUGCUUGUUUGUUUAUUAAAUAUCUUUGCAGCUGUAGAGACAAUCCAUAAGAUACUAUGGUAUUAAUUACCAGUAGGGAAUAGGGAUAUAACAUUAUUCUGUGACAACGCCAUGGCAAAGCGUUGAGGUAGUCGUUUUAGAUGAAAGUCAGUGUUCUACCUAUUCCAUGAAUAAAAGAUAGAUAGUGAUGUUCUUUGAAUGCUACCUGGCUAUAGAGCUCCUCAGGUGAGGAUUCUUUUGAUUCAAAUGAAGCUGUCUGAAAGUCAGGUGUCUGCUCCAAAUUACUCAUGCCAGCUUCCUUUGUAGGGAGAGCAUCUCAAAACAGGAGUCUGAGAGAGGUGGGACCAAUCAACUCCGGAUACCCGUGGGCAAACACUUACAUCUAUGAAAUUCAUGUCACUGCUAUGGAGUUGACACCAGCUCUUCUAUGGACACUGAGGCUGAAAGGAAGACUUUAAACACCUCGCUGAAGGGUUUGUUGUGCCACAGCCAUAAUUAUCUUCUACGCAGAACAGCGGGACCUGCUCUCCUGUUUUGGGAAAAGGACUGUCCGGUCACCAGAUGUUGGUAUGUAUCCACCAGACACCUAUAUGAAGAGGAAAAUGUCACUGCAGCUGUAUUAGGAAGGGCAACUAUACAUGAAAUCAGUUCUAAACCAGUUCACGGCUUAAGGAUGCCUCCAGUCUUUCUCAACAGGUAAGACUCAGUGUCAGUGAAAUACGUGACUGAGAUACGAAUGACAGGAAGCCAAGAAAUGCAUAAGGAUACAGCAGUAGAAAUCACAUGAACAGUGUACUUAAGGCUGCAAUGUUUUCACCUAUUUUCCCUGUUGUAUGACAUGAAGCCUUUGUUUCAGGAUGCAAAAUAAAAGCCAUCCUUGAUCCAAGCAUGAAAGACUGGCUCCCCAUACCAUUUCAGAGUACCCACUUCCUGGCUCACACCUUCCCAAAAUCCAAGCUAAGCCCCCUUAAAGACUCACUCCAGCCCACACAGACUAGCACUGCUUACCAGCCACCGAUACUUCAGAUCCUUUGCUCAUUGCAGUUUUCUGGCUUUCUGCUCCCUUGAGAAGUGAUCACUGCCUGAAAUCUCCCUGGCAGGUUAACUCCCUCUCUUCAGAUCUUGGGAGGACCUUGUACUGUUCUUGGAAGGACCUAGCUGUUCUCACACUGGCUUCUUUUCUCAAGAUAGGACUUCACAGAAAAAGCACACUGCAUAGGUUAGCCACGGGAAAACACAUUCAUGUGAGUGAUGGGUGGUUUGUGAAUGUGCACAUGCCAGCAGAAAGAUACACACACAUAGAAGAAAUGGAUACAGAACGGAAGAACAGAAUGUAACUAGAACUAGGCAGAAGACAAGGCAUGAAUAGAGAAUGUGAUGAGGAAAAGAAAAAAAAAAGGACAGAAAUCAAGUAAAUUUUAACAAAA
rnacentral:lncRNA from 1 species